rfam:Ictidomys tridecemlineatus contig107042, whole genome shotgun sequence.
GGGGUUGUGGCUCAGUGGUAGAGUACUUGCCUAGCAUGUGUGAGGCACUGGUUCGAUUCUCAGCACCA